UAAAAUAAUCCUCACCUACUGGGCAUCCAGUGGAGUUGAUCUACCUUUUCUGUUGGGAGGUUCAUGUCCAGUCAAGCUUGAUUAAUCUGGUGCGAGCCCUGAAUGAUCGCAAAUGUAACGCUGAACAGCUACACCUGUUUAUCGAGUCCAUUCAUUUCCCCUCACCGGCUGCUCACUGAAAAGACACAUUAAUUAAAACAGUAAACAAACGGGCUCCUAUUCUAAAUCAGAGCUGCAGGCAACAGAGAGAUAACUUAGACUCUUGAGAAGAGGGAUUUUCAGUUAAUUUAUGGAAUCGACUGUCAUUCUUGGGGAGAAGAGGCUUUGCUAAGUCGGGGAAUUGAAACAGACAGCCUGUGUCUAAACACUCCUUUUCCCCCCUGUAAAAUUUCUUCACUCCUUCCCCCCCCCCUCCUUCCUUGUUUGAAUUUCUAAUCUCUUUUGGCUUGAUAUUUUCAUAGAAAGAACAGAGUGAUUUGUCUGCAAUGUCCUCUUCUGAGCAACAAUUUUUUAAAGAGGGGACUCAUUAACAGUCGGCCUUCAUCUCGACCCUAUGAUUGACGAUAGUAGUUGUUGCUGUUGCGGGCCUUGAUAUCGUCUCUGACUUAUGACGAUCCUAAAGCAACUCAAGGUUUUUUCUGGAGCUGAGAGUGUGUGUCUCACCCAAGGUCAUCACACUGGGUUCCUUUGGCCAAAUGGGGAAGUGAACCCUGGUCUCCAGCAUUGUAACUCAAUGCUCAAGCCACUACACCAUGCUUGCUCUUCAUCUACACAUCAUGAUCUUCAACUAGGUUGAGGAUCACUAUGCAGAUGGGGAAGAGUCAGCACCACCUCAG
rnacentral:lncRNA from 11 species